CCUACGGGUGGCAGCAGUAGGGAAUCUUCGACAAUGGACGAAAGCCUGAUCGAGCAACGCCGCGUGGGUGAAGAAGGUCUUCGGAUCGUAAAACCCUGUUGUUAGAGAAGAACGUGCGUGAGAGUAACUGUUCACGUUUCGACGGUAUCUAACCAGAAAGCCACGGCUAACUACGUGCCAGCAGCCGCGGUAAUACGUAGGUGGCAAGCGUUGUCCGGAUUUAUUGGGCGUAAAGGGAACGCAGGCGGUUUGUUAAGUCUGAUGUGAAAGCCCUCGGCUUAACCGGGGUAGUUCAUUGGAAACUGGGAGACUUGAGUGCAGAAGAGGAGAGUGGAACUCCAUGUGUAGCGGUGAAAUGCGUAGAUAUAUGGAAGAACACCAGUGGCGAAAGCGGCUCUCUGGUCUGUAACUGACGCUGAGGCUCGAAAGCGUGGGGAGCAAACAGGAGUAGAUACCCUUGUAGUC
rnacentral:rRNA from 1 species